UACGGGGGGAGCAAGCGUUGUUCGGAUUUACUGGGCGUAAAGGGCGCGUAGGCGGUCAGCACAAGUCAAUUGUGAAAUCUCCGAGCUUAACUCGGAAAGGUCAACUGAAACUGUGCGACUAGAGUGCGGAAGGGGCGACUGGAAUUCUUGGUGUAGCGGUGAAAUGCGUAGAUAUCAAGAGGAACACCUGCGGCGAAGGCGGGUUGCUGGGCCGACACUGACGCUGAAGCGCGAAAGCCAGGGGAGCGAACGGG
rnacentral:rRNA from 1 species